AACGCGAAGAACCUUACCAAGGCUUGACAUGCAGGGAAAAGCCGUGGAGACACGGUGUCCGUAAGGGUCCUGCACAGGUGGUGCAUGGCUGUCGUCAGCUCGUGUCGUGAGAUGUUGGGUUAAGUCCCGCAACGAGCGCAACCCUUAUCCUAUGUUGCCAGCGGGUAAUGCCGGGGACUCAUGGGAGACUGCCGGGGUCAACUCGGAGGAAGGUGGGGAUGAGGUCAAGUCAUCAUGCCCCUUAUGUCUUGGGCUGCAAACAUGCUACAAUGGCCGGUACAGAGGGCUGCGAGACCGUAAGGUGGAGCGAAUCUCAAAAAGCCGGUCUCAGUUCGGAUUGGGGUCUGCAACUCGACCCCAUGAAGUCGGAGUCGCUAGUAAUCGCAGAUCAGCAACGCUGCGGUGAAUACGUUCCCGGGCCUUGUA
rnacentral:rRNA from 1 species